AAUACUUAGGAAUCUGCCUAUUAGUGGGGGACAACAUUUCGAAAGGAAUGCUAAUACCGCAUACGCCCUACGGGGGAAAGCAGGGGCUCUUCGGACCUUGCGCUAAUAGAUGAGCCUAAGUCAGAUUAGCUAGUUGGUGGGGUAAAGGCCUACCAAGGCGACGAUCUGUAACGGGUCUGAGAGGAUGAUCCGUCACACUGGGACUGAGACACGGCCCAGACUCCUACGGGAGGCAGCAGUGGGGAAUAUUGGACAAUGGGGGAAACCCUGAUCCAGCCAUGCCGCGUGUGUGAAGAAGGCCUUUUGGUUGUAAAGCACUUUAAGCGAGGAGGAGGCUCCUAUAGUUAAUACCUAUAGUGAGUGGACGUUACUCGCAGAAUAAGCACCGGCUAACUCUGUGCCAGCAGCCGCGGUAAUACAGAGGGUGCGAGCGUUAAUCGGAUUUACUGGGCGUAAAGCGUGCGUAGGUGGCCAAUUAAGUCAAAUGUGAAAUCCCUGAGCUUAACUUAGGAAUUGCAUUCGAUACUGGUUGGCUAGAGUAUGGGAGAGGAUGGUAGAAUUCCAGGUGUAGCGGUGAAAUGCGUAGAGAUCUGGAGG
rnacentral:rRNA from 1 species